rnacentral:snoRNA from 1 species
UGCCGUCAGAUCCGACCGGGCAGGAUGGCACCUUCAAACAUUGUGGUGUGUGUCCAAUCGGUGGGUCGAGAU